rnacentral:rRNA from 1 species
CCUACGGGCGGCUGCAGUGGGGAAUAUUGGACAAUGGGGGCAACCCUGAUCCAGCCAUGCCGCGUGUGUGAAGAAGGCCCUCGGGUUGUAAAGCACUUUCAGUGAGGAAGAACGCCUGGUGGUUAAUACCCAUCAGGAAAGACAUCACUCACAGAAGAAGCACCGGCUAACUCCGUGCCAGCAGCCGCGGUAAUACGGAGGGUGCGAGCGUUAAUCGGAAUUACUGGGCGUAAAGCGCGCGUAGGUGGCUUGAUAAGCCGGUUGUGAAAGCCCCGGGCUCAACCUGGGAACGGCAUCCGGAACUGUCAAGCUAGAGUGCAGGAGAGGAAGGUAGAAUUCCCGGUGUAGCGGUGAAUGCGUAGAGAUCGGGAGGAAUACCAGUGGCGAAGGCGGCCUUCUGGACUGACACUGACACUGAGGUGCGAAAGCGUGGGUAGCAAACAGGAUUAGAUACCCCGGUAGUC